rnacentral:rRNA from 1 species
CCAGACCGCCAGCUAAGGUCCCAAAGUAUUGCUAAGUGGGAAACGAUGUGGGAAGGCUCAGACAGCUAGGAUGUUGGCUUAGAAGCAGCCAUCAUUUAAAGAAAGCGUAAUAGCUCACUAGUCGAGUCGGCCUGCGCGGAAGAUGUAACGGGGCUAAGCAAUACACCGAAGCUGCGGCAAUGUCUUUUAGACAUUGGGUAGGGGAGCGUUCUGUAAGCCGUUGAAGGUGAAUCGUAAGGUUUGCUGGAGGUAUCAGAAGUGCGAAUGCUGACAUGAGUAACGACAAAGGGGGUGAAAAACCUCCUCGCCGGAAGACCAAGGGUUCCUGUCCAACGUUAAUCGGGGCAGGGUGAGUCGACCCCUAAGGUGAGGCCGAAAGGCGUAAUCGAUGGGAAACGGGUUAAUAUUCCCGUACUUCUGACUAUUGCGAUGGGGGGACGGAGAAGGCUAGGUGGGCCAGGCGACGGUUGUCCUGGUUCAAGUGCGUAGGCUUGAGAGUUAGGUAAAUCCGGCUCUCUCUAAGGCUGAGACACGACGUCGAGCUACUACGGUAGUGAAGUCAUUGAUGCCAUGCUUCCAGGAAAAGCCUCUAAGCUUCAGAUAGUCAGGAAUCGUACCCCAAACCGACACAGGUGGUCGGGUAGAGAAUACCAAGGCGCUUGAGAGAACUCGGGUGAAGGAACUAGGCAAAAUGGUACCGUAACUUCGGGAGAAGGUACGCUCUUGAUGGUGAAGUCCCUCGCGGAUGGAGCUGACGAGAGUCGCAGAUACCAGGUGGCUGCAACUGUUUAUUAAAAACACAGCACUGUGCAAAAUCGCAAGAUGACGUAUACGGUGUGACGCCUGCCCGGUGCCGGAAGGUUAAUUGAUGGGGUUAGCGCAAGCGAAGCUCUUGAUCGAAGCCCCGGUAAACGGCGGCCGUAACUAUAACGGUCCUAAGGUAGCGAAAUUCCUUGUCGGGUAAGUUCCGACCUGCACGAAUGGCGUAAUGAUGGCCACGCUGUCUCCACCCGAGACUCAGUGAAAUUGAAAUCGCUGUGAAGAUGCAGUGUACCCGCGGCUAGACGGAAAGACCCCGUGAACCUUUACUACAGCUUGGCACUGAACAUUGAACCUACAUGUGUAGGAUAGGUGGGAGGCUAUGAAGACGUGACGCCAGUUGCGUUGGAGCCGUCCUUGAAAUACCACCCUUGUAUGUUUGAUGUUCUAACUUAGACCCAUUAUCUGGGUUGAGGACAGUGCCUGGUGGGUAGUUUGACUGGGGCGGUCUCCUCCCAAAGAGUAACGGAGGAGCACGAAGGUGGGCUAAUCACGGUUGGACAUCGUGAGGUUAGUGCAAUGGCAUAAGCCCGCUUAACUGCGAGAAUGACGGUUCGAGCAGGUGCGAAAGCAGGUCAUAGUGAUCCGGUGGUUCUGUAUGGAAGGGCCAUCGCUCAACGGAUAAAAGGUACUCCGGGGAUAACAGGCUGAUACCGCCCAAGAGUUCAUAUCGACGGCGGUGUUUGGCACCUCGAUGUCGGCUCAUCACAUCCUGGGGCUGAAGUCGGUCCCAAGGGUAUGGCUGUUCGCCAUUUAAAGUGGUACGCGAGCUGGGUUUAGAACGUCGUGAGACAGUUCGGUCCCUAUCUGCCGUGGGCGUUGGAAGAUUGAAGGGGGCUGCUCCUAGUACGAGAGGACCGGAGUGGACGAACCUCUGGUGUUCGGGUUGUGUCGCCAGACGCAUUGCCCGGUAGCUAAGUUCGGAAUUGAUAAGCGCUGAAAGCAUCUAAGCGCGAAGCGAGCCCUGAGAUGAGUCUUCCCUGACAGUUUAACUGUCCUAAAGGGUUGUUCGAGACUAGAACGUUGAUAGGCAGGGUGUGUAAGCGUUGUGAGGCGUUGAGCUAACCUGUACUAAUUGCCCGUGAGGCUUAACCAU